rnacentral:rRNA from 1 species
AUUGAACGCUGGCGGCAUGCUUUACACAUGCAAGUCGAACGGUAACAGGUUAAGCUGACGAGUGGCGAACGGGUGAGUAAUGCAUCGGAACGUGCCCGAUCGUGGGGGAUAACGUAGCGAAAGUUACGCUAAUACCGCAUACGAUCUGAGGAUGAAAGCGGGGGACCGUAAGGCCUCGCGCGAUCGGAGCGGCCGAUGUCAGAUUAGGUAGUUGGUGGGGUAAAGGCCCACCAAGCCGACGAUCUGUAGCUGGUCUGAGAGGACGACCAGCCACACUGGGACUGAGACACGGCCCAGACUCCUACGGGAGGCAGCAGUGGGGAAUUUUGGACAAUGGGCGCAAGCCUGAUCCAGCAAUGCCGCGUGCAGGAAGAAGGCCUUCGGGUUGUAAACUGCUUUUGUACGGAGCGAAAAGGCUCUCUCUAAUACAGGGGGCUCAUGACGGUACCGUAAGAAUAAGCACCGGCUAACUACGUGCCAGCCGCCGCAGUAACAC